UACGUAGGAUGCAAGCGUUAAUCGGAAUUACUGGGCGUAAAGCGUGCGCAGGCGGUUUUGUAAGUCAGAUGUGAAAUCCCCGGGCUUAACCUGGGAACUGCGUUUGAAACUACAAGGCUAGAGUGUGGCAGAGGGGGGUGAAAUUCCACGUGUAGCAGUGAAAUGCGUAGAGAUGUGGAGGAACACCGAUGGCGAAGGCAGCCUCCUGGGCUAGUACUGACGCUCAUGCACGAAAGCGUGGGGAGCAAACAGG
rnacentral:rRNA from 1 species